GAGUUUGAUCGUGGCUCAGAUUGAACGCUGGCGGCAUGCCUUACACAUGCAAGUCGAACGGCAGCAUGAUCUAGCUUGCUAGAUUGAUGGCGAGUGGCGAACGGGUGAGUAAUACAUCGGAACGUGCCCUGUAGUGGGGGAUAACUAGUCGAAAGAUUAGCUAAUACCGCAUACGACCUGAGGGUGAAAGUGGGGGACCGCAAGGCCUCAUGCUAUAGGAGCGGCCGAUGUCUGAUUAGCUAGUUGGUGGGGUAAAGGCCCACCAAGGCGACGAUCAGUAGCUGGUCUGAGAGGACGAUCAGCCACACUGGGACUGAGACACGGCCCAGACUCCUACGGGAGGCAGCAGUGGGAUUUGGACAAUGGGCGAAAGCCUGAUCCAGCAAUGCCGCGUGUGUGAAGAAGGCCUCGG
rnacentral:rRNA from 1 species